rnacentral:lncRNA from 1 species
CUUCCUCUAACACAGCAUCACAGCGCUGUCUGUAGAGCACUGAGGAAUGAUGAUCUGAGGUAACGUCAGCCUCAGGUAGGUUAUGAUGAUGAGGGGGUGCUUAUGGCAUUUGAGGGUCUUCCCUCUGGGUUUUACACAAUGGCCCUCAGACCGCCAAGACGCCUAUCUCCUCAGCUCCCAGAAAUGGCUACAGCCGGCAGCUUAGGGAGAGUGCAUUUUCUUAAUCGAUAAGUGGAGGAGAAACACAGCACAGCUUUCAGGAUGAUCUAUUCUAAAAACACUGUGCAUGAUGGGAUAGAGAGAAAGUUGAUUUGAAUUACAAGUUUAAACCCUUGUUAUCUCCCAGAUGAACUAGUGAUUGUCACUAACUGGGAAGUGAUAGCUUUGCACACUUGGCAGACUUCUCAUGUCUAAUACAGUCAAAGACGGGCUGGUUUUAUGUUAGCUGUCAUUGGUAAUGGUAUUUGUCUAAGUGAUUUAUUGGUGAGAAUUUGGGCAGGGUGACAGCCUCCUGUUUUGAUGGCAAGACAGAUGGGGAGUCUGUUAUGUGAAUCUAGGUGGGCUUAGUCUGAUGUCACUAUCCUGGCUCAUGACCUUAUAAAUGAGUGCUAACAUGAACAGGUUAUUCCUAUUGCGACCCACUUCUAUUUCGAAAAUAAGUCUUAGAUCUUAAUUUUUAUCUCCAUGUUGGAGUGCAUAUCUUCAAGAAGUAUCCUGCCAAGAGUGUUUAUCAAUAUGGAAUCAUGAGCUGUCGCUGGUUAGUAGGUCUCUGGAUCACCCAGGAGCAGGGCGUGCCCUUGACACUGUGAUAGGUCACCCCACAGCUCCACGUCCUUUAAAACCAGUCAAUCUGGAGGCCAUAGAAAUCAACUUUGUGGUUGGAUGGGGCGAAGACACAACCAGUCUUUUCCUAUUUAUUGUUGUUUAGAUAAAACAGUAUUAAUGGAAUGUUUUUCACCUUUCCACUGGUUGUUUUGAUAUUGUUUAAAAUGUAUAUUUAGAAUGGAAUCAUCUAAAAAGCUGAUCUUGCUAACCUCCUGUUGCCUACAAAGGGAAAUGUCACAAGAAUGUGUAAAAAUAAAAAUCUAAGAAAAAACCUCACAUUGUUCCUAAAGAGAAUGAAUGUUU